UCGGCCCCUAAGGCGAGGCAGAAAUGCGUAGUCGAUGGGAAGCAUGUUAAUAUUCCUGCACCGACGUGUAAUGCGAUGGGGGGACGGAUCGUGGAAAGUGGUCCAGGUGUUGGAUAUCCUGGUCCCUGCAUCAUAGAGGACAGUUAGGCAAAUCCGGCUGUCAUAUACUCAAGGGUGUGGGGGGAAGUAGCUACGGCUACGAACCCAUUGGAAGUGGUCCCAAGAAAAGCCUCUAAGCUUCAGUUACACGUUGACCGUACCGCAAACCGACACAGGUGGGCGAGAUGAGUAUUCUAAGGCGCUUGAGAGAACUCGGGAGAAGGAACUCGGCAAAUUGACACCGUAACUUCGGAAGAAGGUGUGCCUUUAGUAGGUGAAGUCCCUCGCGGAUGGAGCCCAAUGAGGUUGCAAAAAAUCGGUGGCUGCGACUGUUUAUUAAAAACACAGCACUCUGCAAACACGAAAGUGGACGUAUAGGGUGUGACGCCUGCCCGGUGCUGGAAGAUUAAAUGAUGGGGUGCAAGCUCUUGAUUGAAGUCCCAGUAAACGGCGGCCGUAACUAUAACGGUCCUAAGGUAGCGAAAUUCCUUGUCGGGUAAGUUCCGACCUGCACGAAUGGCGUAACGAUGGCCACACUGUCUCCUCCUGAGACUCAGCGAAGUUGAAAUGUUUGUGAUGAUGCAAUCUCCCCGCGGAAAGACGGAAAGACCCCAUGAACCUUUACUGUAGCUUUGUAUUGGACUUUGAACAGAUCUGUGUAGGAUAGGUGGGAGGCUUUGAAGCGUGGACGCCAGUUCGCGUGGAGCCAACCUUGAAAUACCACCCUGGCAACUUUGAGGUUCUAACUCAGGUCCGUUAUCCGGAUCGAGGACAGUGUAUGGUGGGUAGUUUGACUGGGGCGGUCUCCUCCUAAAGAGUAACGGAGGAGUACGAAGGUGCGCUCAGACCGGUCGGAAAUCGGUCGUAGAGUAUAAAGGCAAAAGCGCGCUUGACUGCGAGACAGACACGUCGAGCAGGUACGAAAGUAGGUCUUAGUGAUCCGGUGGUUCUGUAUGGAAGGGCCAUCGCUCAACGGAUAAAAGGUACUCUGGGGAUAACAGGCUGAUACCGCCCAAGAGUUCAUAUCGACGGCGGUGUUUGGCACCUCGAUGUCGGCUCAUCUCAUCCUGGGGCUGUAGCCGGUCCCAAGGGUAUGGCUGUUCGCCAUUUAAAGAGGUACGCGAGCUGGGUUUAGAACGUCGUGAGACAGUUCGGUCCCUAUCUACCGCGAAAGCAGAAAAUUGAAAGGAUUAAAUUUUAGUACGAGAGGACCAAAUUACGUGAACCUAUGGUGUAUCGGUUAUUUUAUCUAAAGUAUUGCCGAGUAGCUACGUUCAUUAGAGAUAACUGCUGAAUGCAUAUAAGCGGGAAACUUUCCUUAAUACAAAUUUUUUUAAGCUCGUAAAAGAUUAUUACGUCGAUAGGUUUUGAAUGUAAGUACUGCGAGGUAUUCAGUUUAAAAAUACUAAUGAAAUCUCCAUUAUUUUAC
rnacentral:rRNA from 1 species